rnacentral:lncRNA from 1 species
AUCAUUAUCAAAAAGGUAAAAUAACCGGAAGGCUUAAGAGGAGGGGUGAGAAAAAGUCGUAUAAAAGGAGAGAGAAAAGUCGAUAGGGAUCAGUCGAGCGAGAACCUCCGACACGGUAAGAGCUGCAUUUCACUAUUUGCCAUUCAGCUGCAUUCUUCAUCGUAUUAUCAGUUCUCAAUCAUGGUCGUAUGUAAGGGCAAAGAAAAGGCGAAAGAAAUCAGAGUGAAUAUCUCCGAUAUACAAGAGCUAAAGUGCACCAUGUGUCACCAACUGCAUUCUUCGUCGCGCUACCAGUUUCAAUCAUGGCUGGGUCGACCACUGGUGUACCGAUGACUCUUGGGUGUGGCGGAUACCAAAGCACUACACUGCCGCAUUACUACACAACAUACAACACAACCAGUUGCUACACCAAUGCCUUAAAUACUACAUCACCAAGGAACCAGAGUGUUACACAACUACAAAUGCCGCGCCAGCUUAUUACACCGAGGCUCCCUAACACAACACCACCAAGGCAUCGGAGUACUACACCACUACAUAUCAUGGUCGUAUGAAAGGAGAGAAAAGGUGAAAGAAUUCAGCAGCCGAGUGAGCAUCUCCGUUACGGUAUAGGAACUGCCGUGCACUAUUUGUCAACAAGUUCAUUCUUCGUCGCAUUCCAAGUUUUAAAUAAAGUAAACUAUGGCGUCGUGUUGCUGUUGGGUGUUGUAUCGUUGAUGGUUGGUUCGGCCAUGGUGUACCGAUAUCUCCAAAGUAUGGGGUGUACCAACAACAACAUACGCAAAAACCGGUUACUACACUGAGACCUGCAAGUGCCACACCACCGAGGAUAACUUGUUACCCCACCGAAGCGCCCAAGUUCUGCACUACAACCUACGUCGCCCCAGCUUACACCACGAAGGCAGCGGAGUACUACACCACGAAGGCAGCGGAGUACUACACCACGAAGGCAGCGGAGUACUACACCACGAAGGCAGCGGAGUACUACACCACGAAGGCAGCGGAGUACUACACCACGAAGGCAGCGGAGUACUUACUACACCACGAAGGUAGCGGAGUACUUACUACACCACGAAGGCAGCGGAGUACUACACCACGAAGGCAGCGGAGUACUACACCACGAAGGCAGCGGAGUACUACACCACGAAGGCAGCGGAGUACUACACCACGAAGGCAGCGGAGUACUACACCACGAAGGCAGCGGAGUACUACACCACGAAGUCACCGUCACGAUACACCAUGGCUCCAGUUUACUUCACUACAACCCACGCUGCUCCAGAGUACUGCACUGAUGUUCCAAAGUACUACACCACCAAAGUCAUCCGAGUAUUACAUCACUACUUUCGUUAGUACCAAAUCCUACACCGAAGCUCCCAAAGCACUUCUUUGCCCCGAGUUACUACACCACUAACGCAGCCGAAUAACACCCCAAACUACGAUUCCGCAAUUUUCUGCAAGGAAAUUCCUUAUUAUUAGAGCCGAAAUUUCUACUCGGGGUUAUUUAUAUGUAUCGGUUAUUUUCAUGGUAAUUGGUCGCUGGGAAUCAAUUGUUGAUCUUAAAUGAGAAAAUAAAAGUUUUAAUACGGGUAA